GAGUUAAGGAGUGUAACCAAGAUUAUGAAAAGAUAUGUCAUCAGAUUGACUUACCAAAACAAGCACAUUUCACGCUUCAGUACCAAAGCAAAGAUGUGACUGCAAGAUGUCACCAUGUAUUUUGGUGUGGCGAUCUGAAUUUUCGACUCGUGAAUGAUCGUUCCACAGUCGUCGGUUUAUUGGAAGAUCACCAUGAGAAUAAACAACUUACGUAUGACAA